AAAGAAUAUUAGAAGAAAUUAAAGCGGAAAGAAAGCUGCGGCCUGUCUCACCAGAGGAGAUUAGACGUAGCAGAUCAGAUGUGACUACCCCUGAAUCUACAAAGAAUCUUGUGGAGUCAUCUAUGGUGAAUGGAGGUUUGACAUCACAAACAAAAGAAAACAGGUUAAGUACCACACAGCAGGUGCCUGCACAGCGGAAGAAGCUCCUCAAAGCCCCAACUCUGGCCGAACUGGACAGCUCUGAGUCUGAGGAAGAAACGCUGCACAAGUCGACCAGCAGCAGCAGCGUGUCUCCCUCUUUCCCUGAAGAGCCAGUCCUGGAGGCCGUGUCCACAAGGAAGAAGCCUCCAAAAUUCCUGCCCAUAUCAUCAACACCCCAGCCAGAGAGACGGCAGCCACCCCAGAGACGACAUUCCAUUGAAAAAGAAACGCCUACUAACGUGAGGCAGUUCCUGCCGCCUUCCAGGCAGAGUUCCCGCUCUCUU
rnacentral:sRNA from 1 species